UACAGAGGGUGCAAGCGUUGCUCGGAAUCAUUGGGCGUAAAGGGUAGGUAGGUGGUCUCAUUUGUCCGGGGUGAAAUCCUUGAGCUUAACUCAAGAAGUGCCCUGGAAACGGUGAGACUGGAGUCCUGGAGAGGGUCGUGGAAUUCCCGGUGUAGCGGUGAAAUGCGCAGAUAUCGGGAAGAACACCCGUGGCGAAGGCGGCUCUCUGGGACGGUACUGACGCUGAGACGCGAAAGCGUGGGGAGCGAACAGG
rnacentral:rRNA from 1 species